rnacentral:rRNA from 1 species
CCCUUAGAUGUUCUGGGCUGCACGCGUGCUACACUGAUUAUUUCAACAAGUGUUUUAACUGGAGAGUUUGCGUAAUCCUGAAAUGCUAUCGUGAUGGGAGUAGAGUAUUGUAUUUGUUAAUCUUUAACGAGGAAUUCCUAGUAAGUGUAGGUUUAUAAGUUGUUCUGAUUACGUCCCUGCCCUUUGUACACACCGCCCGUCGCUCCUACCGAUUGAAUGCUCAGGUGAGCCAUUCGGACUUUCAUCAUGCUGGUUUCCAGUUUUGAUGAAGGAAAGUCUUGCGAACCUUAUCAUUUAGAGGAAGGAGAAGUCGUAACA